rnacentral:rRNA from 1 species
UGGGGAAUCUUGGACAAUGGGGGCAACCCUGAUCCAGCCAUGCCGCGUGAGUGAUGAAGGCCUUAGGGUCGUAAAGCUCUUUCGCCUGUGAAGAUAAUGACGGUAGCAGGUAAAGAAACCCCGGCUAACUCCGUGCCAGCAGCCGCGGUAAUACGGAGGGGGUUAGCGUUGUUCGGAAUUACUGGGCGUAAAGCGCGCGUAGGCGGUUUGGUAAGUCAGAUGUGAAAGCCCCGGGCUCAACCUGGGAACUGCAUUUGAUACUGCCUGACUAGAGUAUGGUAGAGGGAAGUGGAAUUCCACAUGUAGCGGUGAAAUGCGUAGAGAUGUGGAGGAACACCAGUGGCGAAGGCGGCUUCCUGGCUCGAUACUGACGCUGAGGUGCGAAAGUGUGGGGAGCAAACAGGAUUAGAUACCCUGGUAGUCCACACCGUAAACGAUGAAUGCCAGUCGUCGGGUAGCAUGCUAUUCGGUGACACACCUAACGGAUUAAGCAUUCCGCCU